GAAGCGAGACGGAGACGUUAAGCGAACCCAAAAAAAGUAAGUCUCAGUUCGGAUUGAAGGCUGAAAUUCGCCUUCAUGAAGCCGGAAUUGCUAGUAAUGGCAGGUCAGCAUACUGCCGUGAAUACGUUCCCGGGCCUUGUACACACCGCCCGUCACACCAUGAGAGUUGGGAAUACCCGAAGCCUGUGAGCUAACGUAAGAGGCAGCAGUCGAAGGUAGAAUCAAUGAUUGGGGUGAAGUCGUAACAAGGUAGC
rnacentral:rRNA from 1 species